UUUUAGUUCAGCUUUCUCUUCUCUGCCCCGCUCGCGUCCGCCUCCUCCUGCUCCUUUAAUCCGUGGAAAGGGGCAAAGAAGAGCUCGCACUACUCUCCCUUUCCUAUCUCGUCAGCGCCGCCUUCUUUUCUACCGCGAGCUUUCUUCACCUUGAUCCCGGAGAAUUGCCUCUUUCGUAUGAGUUUGAUCGGAAUUUGAGCCGAGAAAGGAGGUGCAGAGAGGAGAAAUAUCGAGGACUCGCCUCGUUUCGGGGUUUGAUUCGCAGCUUGUCGGUGUAAAUAGGGGAAAAAGAGGAUUUUGGUGAGGGUUAAAGCUGACCUUGGUUGUUUAAUGGAUGGUCGGAAGGGGCACGGAAGGAGGCUUUGAUGGGUUCUCAGCUCAAGUGGCCUAACGUUCCUCGAGCGGAUCCGUGGGUUCCUUCUUCUUCCUCCUCGGCCCAUCGUAUCAGUUGUACUUGACUUUGGUGGCCCUUCUUGUCUGAGAUAUAAGAGGUCUUGGCAAACCCAUAUGGCGCCGGCAGCAGCAGCUGGUAGUACUUCCAAGCUGACGACUAAUGAUGCCCUAGCCUAUUUGAAGGCUGUGAAGGAUAUAUUUCAUGACAAAAGGGAGAAAUAUGAUGAAUUCCUUGAGGUCAUGAAGGACUUCAAGAGCCAGAGGAUUGACACGAAUGGGGUUAUCAUGAGGGUGAAGGAAUUAUUUAAGGGGCACCGGGAUCUAAUCCUAGGCUUCAACACCUUCUUGCCAAAGGGAUAUGAGAUUAAGCUACCGGAAGAAAAGAAACCAGUCGAAUUUGAGGAAGCAAUCGUUUUUGUUAACAAAAUCAAGAGUCGUUUUCAGAAUGAUGAACAUGUUUACAAGUCAUUCUUAGAUAUUCUGAAUAUGUAUCGAAGGGAGAAUAAGCCAAUCCGUGAGGUCUACGAAGAGGUAGCAGCCCUCUUUCAGAAUCAUCAAGAUUUGCUUGAGGAAUUCACACACUUUUUGCCUGAUGCCUCAGCAACAUAUGCUCCACAUCUUGGAUAUCCUGAUCGAUCCUUUGCACACCGAGAUGAGAGGAACCCUGUGAUGCCUUUAGCAAGGGAAGAUAAGCGAGAGAAAGCUUAUACGUCACAUGCCAACCGUGACUUAAGCAUCGAUCGUCUUGAUAUGGAGCAUGAUAGUCAGAGAAGGCAUGCAGAGAAGGAAAAGGAUAGGAAAGAAGAUAGGGACAAAAGAUAUCAUGAACGUGAUGAAAAGGAAUUGGCGCAUGAUAGUGGAGAUUUAGACAAUGAACAGUGUAGGCAUAAACUUCCAUCUAGAAGGGUGGAUGACCCUACUGCUGAGCCGAUGCAUCAAGGCGGUAAUAUUGCCAUGAAUAGCAUUUCAGCUUCACAAUUUGAUGAUAAAAAUGCUUUGAAGAGUGUAUAUACCCGAGAAUUUAACUUUUGUGAGAAAGUCAAGGAGAAGUUGCACUGUGAUACAUACCAGGAAUUUUUGCAAUGCCUUCACAUAUACAGCAAAGAAAUAAUAAACAGAACAGAACUAAAGAAUCUGGUAAGUGACAUCCUUGGAAAGUAUCCAGAUCUCAUGGAAGGUUUCAAUGAAUUUUUGGCCCAUUGUGAGAAUAUAGAUGGAUUUCUUAAAGGUGUAAUCAACAAAAGACACAUGGCUAUGCCGAUUAAGAUAGAGGAUAGAGACAGAGAAAGGGACCUUGAAAUAAAUGAUCGGGAGAAAGAUCUUGAAAGAGAGAGAAACUUUGAAAGAGAAAGAGGUGAUAAAGGUGCCGCUCACAAGGCUCCUUUAAUUUCAAACAAAGAAAAAUAUAAUUUAUGGAAACCUAUUUCAGAGCUUGACCUUUCAAAUUGUCAACGUUGUAGCCCAAGUUACUGUCUUCUGCCAAAAAAUUAUUCAAUACCUCCUGCUAGCCAAAGGACUGAACUUGGAGAGUCAGUAUUAAAUGAUGUAUGGGUAUCAGUGACUUCAGGAAGUGAGGACUACUCUUUUAAGCACAUGCGCAAAAACCAAUAUGAAGAAAGCUUAUUUAGAUGCGAAGAUGAUAGAUUUGAGCUGGAUAUGUUGUUGGAAUCGGUGAAUGCGACAACUAAACAAGUGGAGGAAUUGCUAGAGAUGAUGCAAGACCCAGUAAAAUCAGAGAAUCCAAUUCACAUUGAAGACACUCUUACUUCUUUGAAUUCGAGAUGCAUUGAACGAUUAUAUGGAGACCAUGGUCUUGAUGUCAUGGAUGUACUUCGCAAGAAUUCUAGUCUUUCAUUGCCAGUCAUACUAACCCGCCUGAAGCAAAAGCAAGAGGAAUGGACUAGGUGCCGUUCAGAUUUUAAUAAAGUUUGGGCAGAAAUAUAUGCUAAGAACUAUCACAAAUCACUUGACCACCGUAGUUUCUAUUUCAAGCAACAGGAUGCAAAGAGCUUGAGCACAAAAGCUUUGCUGGCUGAGAUUAAAGAAAUUAAUGACAAGAUGAAGAAGGAAGAUGACAUUGUUCUUUCCAUUGCAGCCAAAAAUAGGCAGCCUAUAGUUCCCAAUAUGGAAUUUGAGUAUAUAGAUCUAGAUAUUCAUGAGGAUCUAUAUCGGAUCAUUAGAUAUUCAUGUGGAGAAGUUUGCACAUCUUUGGAUCAGGUGGACAAAGUCAUUAAGUUUUGGACUACAUUUCUGGAGCCCCUAAUGGGUUUUCAACCUCAAAACCGAGGUGCAGAAGGCAUGCGAGAUGUAAAACCUAAUAGUCAUUCUGGCAAAUCCAGUAUUGCUGGUUUGGUUAAAAGCAAUGGGAGUCCUGAUGCUGAUGGCACAGGUGCCACCAAGCAAAGUAAUGGUGGUGAGAAUAUUCAAUCUGAACAAGUGGCUUCAUGCAGGACCAAGUUAGCAAAUGGAGACACAACAGUUGCUGGGAAUUGUUUUCAUGAUGUGGGUCGAGCCACUCAUCGUGUUGGAAAUCUUUGUAACAAUCCACUUCAGAGAAGGGUACAGGGUAGUGCUCCCAAGGCUGAUGAAAGCUCUGGAAUAACUGUGCAAAAUGUGUCUGCAGAACAUUUGUCAGAUAACACUUGUUUUGUUGGCAGAGCUGAAGAAAGUCACAGUAGAACAAACCUGGAGACUGUAUCAGGGGUUGGUGGUGCAUCUUUACAGACCAGCCACUGUGGAACAGAUAUGCUGGUUGAACCUCGAGCUUAUUUAGAGGUUGGACAAACUGGAAGGACAAUUAUAUCGGUGAAUUGUGGUGGCACUGCUGAAUGCAACAAAGGUGACAGGCCUAAUGAAGGUUCCACUUGCCUUAACAACCUCAAGGUUGAAAGAGAAGAAGGUGAAUUGUCGCCUAAUGGAGAUACUGAAGAGGAUAAUUUUGCGGCUUUUGAAGAUGCUGCUAUAAGUGUAGCUCCUAAAGGGAGGGAUAAUUGUGCCAGCACACAGUACCAAAUCAAACCUGUAGAAGUUGAGGUUUCCUGUGGUGAGGCUGCAGGAGAGAAUGAUGCUGAUGAUGAUGAUGAGGGUGAAGAAAGUGCUCAACGGUCUACAGAGGUGAGUGAAAAUGCAUCGGAGGCUGGUGAGGAUGUUUCUGUCAGUGAAUCUGGUAAUGGUGAGGAAUGCUCCCAUGAUGUUCAUGAGCAGGAAGAAGAUGAUGUUGUGCAUGAUGAUCAGGAUGCAAAGGCUGAAAGUGAGGGUGAGGCUGAAGGAAUGACUGAUGUGCAGGACGUUGAAGGGGAAAUUAUGUCAUUACCUUUCUCAGAACGUUUUCUUCACACAGUGAAACCUCUGGCAAGGCACGUGCCUGCAGCAUUACAUGAUAAAAAAGAUAGUUCUUCCCGUGUCUUCUAUGGAAAUGAUUCCUUCUAUGUGCUGUUACGGCUCCAUCAGGCUUUGUAUGAAAGGAUACUCUCAGCCAAGACAAAUUCAUUAGCUGCCGAAAAGAAACAGAGAAGCUUCAAAGAUACAAGCCCUCCUGAUUUAUAUGCCAAGUUUAUGAGUGCUUUAUACAAUCUACUUGAUGGUUCUGCUGACAAUAUGAAAUUUGAAGAUGAUUGCCGUGCUAUAAUUGGAACUCAGUCCUACGUACUAUUUACAUUGGACAAGCUAAUCUAUAAAGUUGUUAAACAGCUUCAAGCAAUAGCGUCAGAUGAGAUGGAUAAUAAGAUUCUCCAACUCUACUCUUAUGAAAAAUCAAGGCUAGCUGGCGGAUCUUUUGAUAUAGUUUAUCACGAGAAUGCUCGAGUGCUUUUACAUGAUGAGAGCAUAUACAGAUUUGAAUGUGUUUCACAGUCUUCACAUGUGACCCGACUAUCAAUUCAGCUCAUGGAAUAUGGACAAGAAAAGCCCGAACUCACUGCUAUCUCAUUAGAUCCCAACUUUUCGGCAUAUCUAUACAAUGAUCUUUUGUCAAGUGUCUCAGAUAGGAAAGGAGCACAAGGUGUCUUCCUUGGAAGGAAUAAACGCAAAUAUGGAGGUGCUGAUGAGUACUCUGCUACUUGCAAGGCAAUGAAUGGGUUUCAAGUUAUCAAUGGUUUAGAAUGCAAGAUAUCUUGCAGUUCUUCUAAGGUGUCUUAUGUGCUAGACACUGAAGAUUUCUUGUUCCGAGUGAAAAAGAAAAGGCGAUGUUCAUGUGGAGGGACCAUCUUUGGUGAUCAAGUGCAACCUUCACAAGUACAUGAUGCAAAAAUACAUCGAUUUUAUGGCUUCUUAUCCAGUUUUCUGUCCAGGUCCUAAGGCGUCAUGCCAAAAGAGAACUGAUAAGAGUCGCUUCAAAUGCAACUUCAGUAUCAGCAACCACAGAAUUUGGUUGCUGUUUGUCAUGAGUCCAAAGACUACCCUAACCAGCAAUUUGGUGCAUACGUCAACUGUUUUUUAAACUUAAUUCUAGUGGCUUUUGACAUAAAAAAUGUGUAUAUAUGUACCGGACCCCAACUUUCUUCCUCUUAUAUGCAUACCCAAUGUUUCUUUCUUUCCCCAGCCAUUGGCUCUCAUAUUUAUAGUCCAUCUGAAACCCAAUGUAACAUUUAGAUGUAUACAGCUUAUUCCUGUAACCAGUGUAGCCAUUCGCGGUCUUA